rnacentral:rRNA from 1 species
AUGAACGCUGGCGGCGUGCCUAAUACAUGCAAGUCGAGCGAACGGACGAGAAGCUUGCUUUUCUGAUGUUAGCGGCGGACGGGUGAGUAACACGUGGAUAACCUACCUAUAAGACUGGGAUAACUUCGGGAAACCGGAGCUAAUACCGGAUAAUAUUUUGAACCGCAUGGUCCAAAAGUGAAAGACGGUCUUGCUGUCACUUAUAGAUGGAUCCGCGCUGCAUUAGCUAGUUGGUAAGGUAACGGCUUACCAAGGCAACGAUGCAUAGCCGACCUGAGAGGGUGAUCGGCCACACUGGAACUGAGACACGGUCCAGACUCCUACGGGAGGCAGCAGUAGGGAAUCUUCCGCAAUGGGCGAAAGCCUGACGGAGCAACGCCGCGUGAGUGAUGAAGGUCUUCGGAUCGUAAAACUCUGUUAUUAGGGAAGAACAUAUGUGUAAGUAACUGUGCACAUCUUGACGGUACCUAAUCAGAAAGCCACGGCUAACUACGUG